rnacentral:lncRNA from 1 species
GUUUUCCAAGGACUACUUUGGUGUCCUCAUUUGCCUCUGAGAAAAAUGCCUGCCUGAACUUUACAGGUCUCUUUUGGAGGUCAACAGAGAUUAUAAAAAAUUAAGGCACUUUGAGAAAUUCACCCAGUACAAAUGUAGUUUAACAAGUGUCACUCUAUAAUGAAAAAUCUUCCUUCAGGCUCCCUUCUUACACCAUGCCUGGGAGGAAGAAUCAUUCCCUUACUUAUGGGAGAACUUCUCAUGGUGUAAACAUUCAUUCUAGAGAGCAUUUCCCCAUCAAGCUACAGGCUGAUGCUCUGAACUGGUGCUCCCUGCAAAGCAAUUUGAUAAGAUUAAGUAUCCCCAUCCUCCAUGUUUUUCUCCCUCCUCCACUUUCCUUUUCUGAAAAGGACUGUGUGAAACCACAGGGAAAUGAUACAUUUGCACGCUAUUCAGAAAACAGCUUGGCUGUCUGGGCUUGGCAGUGGAUAAGCCCCUAUUUUAGGCUCUCUUCAACUCACCAUGCUCUGCCUAGAGGAGGCUGAAAUCAUCCUUUGCCUCCACCUCCACAUUGUAAGUUGAAUGUCAGCCACAAUCCCUGGCCACAGCACUAUCUACCAAGUAGACAUCAGCCCUACAGCAUCCAAAUCAUCUGCCAAGUCAUAUCCCAGGGGAUCGGAGGCAUGGAGUCGCAUUCAUCCUGGGGACUCGAGUUUGGCAAUGGCAAACUCAUCACUAAAUGAAAAGCUAGCCAAUUCUUGAGCUUCUGUCUUCUUUCUGAGUUUCCCUAAGUCCAAAAUUCCCUUUCAAUAAAAAGGGGAAAGUUGGGUUCUUGGCCCACAUGUAUCCUCAAUACAUUGCCAAAUCAUUCUAGCUUUCGAAUGAGUUACCUGAUGCUUACAAAAUAUGAAAUCUUUCUGAGCCUUCUCAAAUCAAAAUGGAAAGAAAAAUACUUCAGAUUGAAGAUUUCAAAUGCGAGAUCUGAAUAAUGACUCAGUUCUUUCCUUCCAUAAGCAAACUGC